CAGUGGUUCAGGAACCUUUAGAACCUCCACUUUUAUUGUCAUGUGACAGAUUCCUUUAACAAACUCCUGAUAAAUGUUUUUUUCUUACAGCUGGCUGUGGCUUUGAAUACGACCAAGAGUGCUGGCAUAAUCCACGGUGAUGUGAAAAUGGAUAACAUCAUGAUGGUGGAUCGUGUGAAGCAGCCCUUCAAGGUCAAACUCAUUGACUUUGGUUUGGCCAAGUACAGGUCUGAGGCCAAAGCAGGAGAUCUACUCCAAAUACCUGCAUUUAGAGCUCCAGAAAUCAUCCUGGGCCUGCCGUAUUCAGAGGCCAUCGACGUUUGGUCGUUAGGCUGCAUGAUGGCCUGGAUGGUGGCUCGUAUUGCUCUCUUCGGAUCACACUCAGAAUACUGGAUACUCCGACAAAUGAUCAGUCUGCUGGGUCCGCCACCGCAACAUCUCAUCGACGCUGGUGGGAGAUCACGAUUCUUUUUUUAAGGAAAUAAGUGGCUUGUGGCGGCUGAAGACACCAGGAGAGCAUUUUGGGAUCUUGGCCAUGUACGCCAUCCCCACACAUCACAGGUUCGGCUCUCUGGAUGAAAUGAAGACGGUGUAUUCUGAGCUGGACAACCCAGCAGAGGCUGAUGAGAGGAGGGAGUGUAUCGAGCUGUUGAAGGCGAUGGUUCAGUGGGAUGAGAAAGACAGAAUCACCCCCAGUGGUAUCCUCAACCAUCCUUUUAUCACUAAAAGCUACCUCAACAGCAGCUCCCCCAUCAGCAGUUGCGAUGAACCUAAACCCUCCACCAGCGUGUUCAUCAUGGUUAAGCCUGCAGACCCUGAAAACAGAACUGACCUGACAGGCUUGCCUGAUGAGGACAAAGACCGGGAGCACAAGAAGAGCAGCAAAGAUGAGCACAGAGAGGAUAGUGAUGAUUCUAAAGCUGCUAAAGACAUUGAGGACGGUGAAAACGGUGACACCAGCAACGUUAGCAAAGAUGAUCAGUUCAGGAAGGUCGAGCAGAAUCAUCAGUACACUGAAGACAGCGAGAAGGAGCAAAGCAAGAAGAAAAAGAAGAACUGCUUCCAACGCAUCUUGUCUUGGAUGAAGAAGACGUUCUGCUGCUGCUGUGUGUCUGAUGUGAUGGACUGAGCAGCACCAAUGGCCUGCAGUCACAUUUCACUCUCACAGGCAGAAGGCCGCCCUCUCAGAGCCUGGUUCUGCCGGAGGUUUCUUCCCAUUUCAACAGGUGAUUGGCCGUGAUGAAGAGACGUCAGAUUGUACAGAACGGUGUUAUGGAGCUGACAUUAUGGAGCUGCGGUUCCUGGCCUCACCUACCUUGAAGUGUUGGUUGUUCUCUUGUGCUUUCUCUGUCUGUUUUCUAUCUACUGUCCUGUUCUCUCUCUCCUUUACCCUCACCCCAACCGGUCGAGGCAGAUGGCCGCCCUGUCUGAGCCUGGUUCUGCCGGAGGGUUCUUCCUGAAAAAGGGAGUUUUACCUCCCCACUGUCGCCAAGUGCUUGCUCAGACGGGAAUCCAAAGGAAAAUUUGGAUUUGUUGGGUUUCUCUUUAUAAUUUUCUUUACUUUUCUCAUUGAAGUGUCUUGAGAUGACACAUUUGAAAUGGUAAAUAAAAUUUAUUGAAACUGAA